UACGUAGGGCGCAAGCGUUGUCCGGAAUUAUUGGGCGUAAAGAGCUCGUAGGCGGUUUGUCGCGUCUGCCGUGAAAGUCCGGGGCUCAACUCCGGAUCUGCGGUGGGUACGGGCAGACUAGAGUGAUGUAGGGGAGACUGGAAUUCCUGGUGUAGCGGUGAAAUGCGCAGAUAUCAGGAGGAACACCGAUGGCGAAGGCAGGUCUCUGGGCAUGUCCUGACGCUGAGGAGCGAAAGUGUGGGGAGCGAACAGG
rnacentral:rRNA from 1 species